AUGGAACCUGCUAUGGGGCAGGAGCCCGCUAUGGGGCUGGAUAUGGGGCUGGAGACCCUAUUUGGGACCUGCUAUGGGGCUGGAUAUGGGGCUGGGACCCCUUACAGGACCUGCUAUGGGGCAGGAUCCUGCUAUGGGGCAGGACCCUGCUAUUGGGCUGGAUAUGGGGCUGGGACCCCUUAUGGGACCUGCUAUGAGGCAGGACCCCACUAUGGGGCUGGAUAUGGGGCUGGGGCCCCUUAUGGCUCCUGCUAUUGGGCUGGUACCAGUUAUGGGACCUGCUAUGGGGCAGGACCCUACUAUGGGGCUGGAAACCCUAUAUGGGACCUGCUAUGGGGCAGGGGGCUGGAUAUGGGGCUGGGACCCCUUAUGGGACCUGCUAUGGGGCAGGACCCUGCUAUUGGGCUGGAUAUGGGGCAGGACCCCUUACAGGACCUGCUAUGGGGCAGGAUCCCGCUAUGGGGCUGGGACCCCUUAUGGGACCUCCUAUGGGGCAGGACCCUGCUAUGGGGCUGGAUAUUGGUCUGGGACCCCUUAUGGGACCUACUAUGGGGCUGGAAACCCUAUAUGGGUUCUGCUAAUGGGGCAGAACCCCGCUAUGGGGCUGGGACCCCUUAUGGGACCUGCUAUGGGGCAGGACCCCGCUAUGGGGCUGGAUAUGGGGCUGGAAGCCCUUAUAGGACCUACUAUGGGGCUGGAAACCCUAUAUGGAACCUGCUGUGGGGCAGGGCCCCACUAUGGGGCUGGAUAUGGGGCUGUGACCCCUUAUGGCUCCUGCUAUGGGGCUGGAUAUGGGGCUGGGACCCCUUAUGGCUCCUGCUAUGGGGCAGGACCCCGCUAUGGGUCCCGCUAUGGGGCAGAGCCCCCUAUAACCCCCCCCCCCUCCAUCUCUUUCCAGCUCCAGCUCGAAGCCCCGCCCACUCCGAGAAGACCACGCCCACCAUCACAGAGGCCACGCCCCCUCAUUAUAAUACCGACCCCACAAGCCCAGCCCACCAUCCAGAGGCCACGCCCCCUCAUUAUAAUGCCGACCCCAUAAGCCACGCCUCCUCAUUAUAA
rnacentral:lncRNA from 1 species